GACGAACGCUGGCGGCGUGCCUAAUACAUGCAAGUAGAACGCUGAAGGAGGAGCUUGCUCUUCUGGAUGAGUUGCGAACGGGUGAGUAACGCGUAGGUAACCUGCCUGGUAGCGGGGGAUAACUAUAGGAAACGAUAGCUAAUACCGCAUAAGAGUAGAUGUUGCAUGACAUUUACUUAAACGGUGCAAUUGCAUCACUACCAGAUGGACCUGCGUUGUAUUAGCGAGUUGGUGGGGUAACGGCUUACCAAGGCGACGAUACAUAGCCGGCCUGAGAGGGUGGUCGGCCACACUGGGACUGGGACACGGCCCCGAAUCCCUACGGGGGGAGCCGUAGGGGAUCUUCGGAAAUGGGCGGAAGUCUGAACGAACAACGCCGGGUGGGUGAAGAAGGUUUUCGGGUCGUAAAACUCCGUUUUAAGGGAAGAAAGAGUGUGAGGGUGGAAAGUUCACACUGUGACGGUAUCUUAACAGAAAGGGACGGCUAACUACGUG
rnacentral:rRNA from 1 species